UUUAAGUGCAGUUAUGGGUUUGUGUCCAACGUUUGAUGAUCGUUCAUCUUAUUUAAAAUUUCUUUAUGAUAGUAUUUUAUGCAUGACUUAUUAUUAUUUAUUUUUUUUAAAUAAGACGGACGGUUAAACGUUGGACACAUAAAUUUACAGUUGCGCUUAAA
rfam:Oryza barthii chromosome 11, whole genome shotgun sequence.